AGUCGAGCGCCCCGCAAGGGGAGCGGCAGACGGGUGAGUAACGCGUGGGAAUCUACCCAGCUCUACGGAAUAACCCAGGGAAACUUGGACUAAUACCGUAUACGUCCUUCGGGAGAAAGAUUUAUCGGAGUUGGAUGAGCCCGCGUCGGAUUAGCUAGUUGGUGAGGUAAUGGCUCACCAAGGCGACGAUCCGUAGCUGGUCUGAGAGGAUGAUCAGCCACACUGGGACUGAGACACGGCCCAGACUCCUACGGGAGGCAGCAGUGGGGAAUAUUGGACAAUGGGCGAAAGCCUGAUCCAGCCAUGCCGCGUGAGUGAUGAAGGCCCUAGGGUUGUAAAGCUCUUUCACCGGGGAAGAUAAUGACGGUACCCGGAGAAGAAGCCCCGGCUAACUUCGUGCCAG
rnacentral:rRNA from 1 species